UACGAUCAUCGAAGUUAAGCAACGUCGAGUCUGGUCAGUACCUAGAUGGGUGACCGCUUGGGAAUAUCGGGUGCUGUAA